ensembl:lncRNA
AUGUUCUCCAGGGGGGCCUCUGGUUCCGCGGCCGCACCCACCAGGACCAGGGUCAGAACCCUCUAGCCACAAGGAACAAAAGUCAUCCUCAAAGAGCUGUGAUGUUCCUUUAAAUGAAGUUCUAACCGAGGGAAGCGCUGAUUGGGGGGGGGGGGGGGGCUGGGCAACACGUACAUGUCUAUAGCCGGCUAGGCGUGGUUUUAGGUGUGUGUUCUGCUUGUGAGCGUGGAACGGAACAGCUUGGAGCUCAGACUUCAUUCUGCUCCACAAGAGCGUGAGCGUGCGCGUGUGUGUGUGUGGGAAGAGGGAGAUAGAAGUACUGUAUUGUGGCCUCGACUGGUCCUGCUCUAGUGAGGAUUAGCAAGAUGGAGGUCAAAGUUCACACGUCGAGGUCAGAGGGCGUCUCCACUUUCACACCUGCUUCUCAUUCUGUCUCAGUUUGGAGAUCCGCCCCAGCUAAUGCACCGCCCCCGACACGCCUCACACACACACCUGGGGCCUCACACACACCUGGGUCCUCUCCUCUCCCCGACACAGCCUCACACACACCUGGGUCCUCUCCUGAACCAACACAGCCUCACACACACAUCUGGGUCCUCUCCUGAACCAACACAGCCUCACACACACACCUGGGUCCUCUCCUGAACCAACAGCCUCACACACACAUCUGGGUCCUCUUCCCGAGGGCCUCACACACACAUCUGGGGCCUCUCCCGACACAGCCUCACACACACACCUGGGUCUUCUCCUCUCCCCGAGGGCCUCACACACAUCUGGGGCCUCUCCCCGAGGGGCCUCACCUGAUCCCAUCACCCCUCAGACUCAGGGCUGCAGUUGGGACAUCUGUCCUGUAGGGGGCGCCUCGCUACACGUCCUGCGCUCCUUCCUCUUCCUCUUACGGGGGACUGGAUAGCUCCUUCCUCUUCCGGGGACUGGAUAGCUCCUUCCUCUUCCUCUUACGGGGACUGGAUAGCUCCUUCCUCUUCCUCCUACGGGGACUGGAUAGCUCCUUCCUCUUCCUCUUACGGGGACUGGAUAGCUCCUUCCUCUUCCUCUUACAGGGACUGGAUAGCUCCUUCCUCUUACGGGGACUGGAUAGCUCCUUCCUCUUCCUCUUACGGGGACUGGAUAGCUCCUUCCUCUUCCUCUUACGGGGACUGGAUAGCUCCUUCCUCUUCCUCCUACGGGGACUGGAUAGCUCCUUCCUCUUCCUCUUACGGGGACUGGAUAGCUCCUUCCUCUUACGGGGACCGGAUAGCUCCUUCCUCUUCCUCUUACGGGGACUGGAUAGCUCCUUCCUCUUACGGGGACUGGAUAGCUCCUUCCUCUUCCUCUUACGGGGACUGGAUAGCUCCUUCCUCUUCCUCCUACGGGGACUGGAUAGCUCCUUCCUCUUCCUCCUACGGGGACUGGAUGGUCUCCAUUUUAAUGUUCAACUUUUUUUUCAAGGCAGCUUUGGUGUACAAAGAACUAUAGAACUCUGGGUAGUGACCAUUCUAACGUUACACUUCCUGCUUGUGGCUUUUUCGACUCUAGGAACUAUGAGUAGCUCCUAG